GAUAUGAUAUAAUUUUAUAUGUAUUUAGAUCUAAUUUUAUAUUAUUUAGAUUAUAUCUAAAUAAAUUUUAUUUUUAGAUCUGAUAUUUGAUCAGUCUGUACAUGUUAGAUUAGAUGAUUUGAGUGGCAAAGUACUUGGAUUGAGUAAUCACCAGACUGUCUGAUCGUAGGAGCAAGUAGAGUUAUAUGACCCUCUCCUCCCAUUCAAUAGGGUGCUCUUAUAGCAUGUAAGGGUGCCACUGUGAGAUCCUAUGAAGAAGAAUGCGAAAGGA
rnacentral:lncRNA from 1 species